rnacentral:rRNA from 1 species
UACGUAGGGCGCAAGCGUUAUCCGGAAUUAUUGGGCGUAAAGAGCUCGUAGGCGGUUUGUCGCGUCUGCCGUGAAAGUCCGGGGCUCAACUCCGGAUCUGCGGUGGGUACGGGCAGACUAGAGUGAUGUAGGGGAGACUGGAAUUCCUGGUGUAGCGGUGAAAUGCGCAGAUAUCAGGAAGAACACCCGUGGCGAAAGCGGCUCUCUGGGACGGUACUGACGCUGAGACGCGAAAGCGUGGGGAGCGAACAGG